rnacentral:rRNA from 1 species
UGAAUACGAGACGCUAAGGCGUCGAAGUAGUGUAUGUCAUACUUCCAAGAAAAGCUUGCACUGUCAUAAGUAAAAAAUGCCUGUACCAUAACCGACACAGGUGGGUAGGUAGAGUAUACUAAGGGGCGCGAGAUAACUCUCUCUAAGGAACUCGGCAAAAUAACUCCGUAACUUCGGGAGAAGGAGUACCUUAUUCUAUAAGGUUGCAAUAACAAGAUCCAAGCAACUGUUUAUCAAAAACACAGGUCUCCGCUAAGUCGUAAGACGAUGUAUGGGGGCUGACGCCUGCCCAGUGCCAGAAGGUUAAAGAAGUCGGUUAGCAUUAGCGAAGCUGGUAACUGAAGCCCUGGUGAACGGCGGCCGUAACAAUAACGGUCCUAAGGUAGCGAAAUUCCUUGUCGGGUAAGUUCCGACCCGCACGAAAGGCGUAAUGAUUUGGAUACUGUCUCGGAGAGGGGCUCGGUGAAAUAGACUUGUCUGUGAAGAUGCGGACUACCUGCACCAGGACAGAAAGACCCUAUGAAGCUUUACUGUAACUUGAAAUUGAAAUUGGACUUUAUUCGCGCAGUAUAGGUGGGAGGUGUUGAUUAUAAUCUUGCGGGAUUAUUGGAGCCAUCAGUGAGAUACCACUCUUGUAAUGUUAGAUUUCUAACUUUGAAUCAUUAUCUGGUCAAAGGACAGUUUCAGGCGGGCAGUUUGACUGGGGCGGUCGCCUCCCAAACGGUAACGGAGGCGUACAAAGGUUUCCUCUGAACGGGUAGAAAUCGUAUCUAGAGUGUAAAGGCAUAAGGAAGCUUGACUGUGAGACCUACAAGUCGAACAGGGACGAAAGUCGGUCUUAGUGAUCUGACGGUACUGAGUGGAAAGGCCGUCACUCAACGGAUAAAAGUUACUCUAGGAUAACAGGCUGAUCUCCCCCAAGAGUUCACAUCGACGGGGAGGUUUGGCACCUCGAUGUCGGCUCAUCGCAUCCUGGGGCGGUAGUACGUCCCAAGGGUUGGGCUGUUCGCCCAUGAAAGCGGUACGCGAGCUGGGUUCAGAACGUCGUGAGACAGUUCGGUCCAUAUCCGGUGUAGGCGUUAGAAUAUUGAGAGGAGCCUUCUUUAGUACGAGAGGACCGAGAAGGACAUACCUCUGGUGUACCAGUUAUCGUGCCAACGGUAAACGCUGGGUAGCUAUGUAUGGAGUGGAUAACCGCUGAAAGCAUCUAAGUGGGAAGCCCACCUCAAGGUAAGUAUUCUCAUC